UAUGUGGACAGCAAUAAAGAGAUUAAGAGUCCAAGAGCUGGGACUUGAGCUCUGAUGACCAAUCCCAAGGCCAAAAGCAUAUUGAGCUGACUCGGAAAGGAGGAGAACCUCUCCUGGGACAGGAGUUUGCUCUGCCCACUGAGGACCAUGAAGCAGAAGGCACCCAUGAAGCCAUGCCCUGCGUGCCGACAGCCUGGACACUGGAGAUCGGAAUGCCCUGUGUGGGCUCAUCCUCUACGCCACAUCACCGAGGUCCAGCCUUGCCAACACCGGCAUCUGACUUCCGGCCUCUGAACUCCUAAGCCUGGCAGAAGACUGUCUGGAACCUAAACUUGGUGACUCCCAUUUCCUCUCCAAGCCUGGGGUGGCACUGCCAGUAGUGGCAACCUGCCUUCUCAACUCUGUCAAAGAACAGAUGCCUGAGGACUCCACGAUGACAGCCAACUGAAUGCCUCUUCGCUCACACUUCCCACCAUGCGUGACCCUGACUCCCAACUUCCCCCUCCCACUUCGCUCCUUGUCGGCAGGAAGCAGUCUGGAGAAUUCAGCGCCCUUAUUUCCCCCACUUGCUAUCCAUAACUCAGCUUUUUAUAAUAAUCAAAAAGGGAGGAAUGUUAGCAUUCAGAUCCACUUCUUGGAAUCCUGUCCAAUAAGCAGAUAAUACCCUGGCCCACCCAGCAUCCUGAUGUCAUCCUACAUUCCUAUUCCCUUUAAGAAAGGAUUCUUCUCCUUUGGCUUUCUCUCUCUUUCUCUUCUUGCCACAAGGUAGCAUGCAACUUCCCCCUCCAUUCUCUCUCUCCUCCUAUCUCUCUCUUUACCUCCCCCUCUCUCUUCACCCCACCAAAUAAAACUCUCCACUGAGUGCUGUCUGUAUGCAUCUCUGUUUCUUACCCACUGUAAGGCACCUUGGCUCCACCCACCAAGGCCUCUUUCUUGCUGUAUCACAACACUGGACACUUUGUGGGUCCAAUAAGUAUCCCUGGACAGUGGACACCUCAAAUCAAAUUACUCAGGCCCAAGCAAUGUAGGUAACAUCUGCUUCUUAUGGUGGCUCUGUAAAAUGACCAGUGGCAGGAAGAAAUUCUAGUGUAGAUGUGCUGUGUGACUAUAGGCAACAAAGGCUCAGGCACUAUUUUUCCAGGCUGGCUGUAGCUUUUAUGACUUUUCUCUUUACCACAAAACUGGCUGCUUAUAACUGCCACAAAACUCUGCAGUGUGAGCAAUGCUUGAAAGCUGGAGUUACAACCAUAAAGCAGUCAUCUUAUGGAGCAGUAGCCUCGGAUCAAGUAUGUAGAAGAGGCAGCUUUGACCAUCCACUCUUCUUCCCCCGUUGUCUGCUUUGCUCACAUAAUUGUCUCCCUUGGCAAUGAAUGCUUUUACAGCAGCCUGGGGAUGGAGGAGGCAGAGUUGUCAUAGACAAAUUUAACAGUUUGUUACUCUCAAGAUUCCUCUCUACAUCCAAUUAAGGACAGCCAACACAGGGCAGAUUCCUAUUAUCCUGCCUCCAGCAGGACAUGACAGUAGGAAAAAUAGGAAGCCCUGAGGUCCUGAGAACUCCAUGACUCUCUGGGGGCCUGCCUUCUGGAUGCUCUGGGGUUUCUAUAUCCCCAGCAAUGCUACAAGAGUUGGGUUGGGGAGCUAUUGCUUUUGCCAGGUAGACAUGGGUUGGUGAACAGAGGUGCUCUGAGCAUAGUAUGCACAGGUUGAGCGGCAGAUGAGGAUUCAUCCCUCCUCAUCUAGCCUUUAUCCAUCUAUAUUCAGGAGCCUCUUAGGCUCUGAUCACCCCUCCCUGCCCUAAAGCCACUGACUGGGCUAGAAACCUAAAAUGAUGAGGUAUCUGCUUCCACUUAGAAUGCACAGCACUCACCCUGGAAGUGACUAUAACCUUGGAUCAGUUGCUGGAGAUGGCUGUUUAUAGAUACAUAAUGCCUUUUCUAGGGAACAUAGAUCUGAAUGAAUACACAGCCACAGAGAAGGGGGGUGUGGAUAUAGAAAUAAGUUAGCUCACAGUAGGCAGUAAGAGGAAAAGAGACCAUAGUAAAAACUGUAAGUUAUCUACACAUGCUUCUCUGGAAAUGGAUAUCAAGGGGAAAGGAAAUAUAAGGCUUAAAACAGCUAAGCUGUGGAGCUGCCAGAAAGUUGGUCAGGGAGCUCCAAGGAUGGCUCCAGCCAGCCAGGCAUGUGUAGCAUGAAUCUUAAAAGGUCUUAUUAAUAAAAAGAAAAC